rnacentral:tRNA from 1 species
AUUUUUGUAGUUUAAUUUAGUUAAGUUAGUUAAUGUAAACAUUGGCUUUAGUCGCCAAGAAUGCCUUUGGUACUUAAAAAUG